rnacentral:lncRNA from 1 species
GCCAGGUUCGAACGGAACACAUUUUGCAGAUGGAUAUGUUUUUUGAGAGAAAUGUAGCAUACCACUUGUUUCGUUUAUUUUUUAAAAAAAUAAACUUAGCGAGAAAUAUGAAUCAACUAGAAUUUAAAUUUGAAAUCUCGAGUACUAACCACCAAGUCUUUUGUCACUUGCGCCAGAGACGAUCAGUUACAAAUGAAUAUGCUAAUCUUGUUGUCAUCACAAUAUGCGCUCAGGCUAAAUCACCGAAAGAAAUAUACACAAAAUAUUU